GGCGGGUUAACGGGGAGAGAUAAUAAUUCUGGUGGGGACGAUGAAACCAGUAGCCGAUCGUCGCGUCCGUUCAUUCGUUCGUCGGUCUCAACAUUCGGUAACCAGUGUAACCAAUUUAAUCGUGAACCAGUGGGACCGAACGACACCAGACGAGUCUCGUCGUUUUUCAACCGAUUGCGGUUUUUUUCGCGGGGAACUAUAGUCACCGCGGUCGCCCUCGACGGAUUUGUGCAGGGUAGGCACCCGCGUACUAUAGAGCGAA